rnacentral:rRNA from 1 species
AGAGUUUGAUCCUGGCUCAGAACGAACGCUGGCGGCGUGCCUAACACAUGCAAGUCGAGCGAGAAAGCCCGCAAGGGUGAGUAAAGCGGCGCACGGGUGAGUAACACGUGGGUAAUCUGCCCUAGAGUCCGGAAUAACUCGCCGAAAGGCGUGCUAAUGCCGGAUGAGACCACGGGAGCCUCGGCUCUCGCGGGAAAAGGUGGCCUCUGUACACAAGCUAUCGCUCUAGGAUGAGCCCGCGGCCCAUCAGCUCGUUGGCGGGGUAAUGGCCCACCAAGGCUACGACGGGUAGCUGGUCUGAGAGGACGAUCAGCCACACUGGAACUGAGACACGGUCCAGACUCCUACGGGAGGCAGCAGUGGGGAAUCUUGCGCAAUGGGCGAAAGCCUGACGCAGCAACGCCGCGUGUGUGAUGAAGGUCUUCGGAUCGUAAAGCACUGUCGCGAGGGACGAAUAAGGGGCGGGCGAACAUCCCGUUCCGAUGACGGUACCUCGAGAGGAAGCACCGGCUAACUCUGUGCCAGCAGCCGCGGUAAUACAGAGGGUGCGAGCGUUGUUCGGAAUUAUUGGGCGUAAAGCGCGUGUAGGCGGCCUUGCAAGUUGGGUGUGAAAGCCCUCGGCUUAACCGAGGAAGUGCGCCCAAAACUACGAGGCUUGAGUGCCGGAGAGGGUGGCGGAAUUCCCGGUGUAGAGGUGAAAUUCGUAGAUAUCGGGAGGAACACCAGUGGCGAAGGCGGCCACCUGGACGGUAACUGACGCUGAGACGCGAAAGCGUGGGGAGCAAACAGGAUUAGAUACCCUGGUAGUCCACGCUGUAAACGAUGAGCGCUAGGUGUUGUGGGUGUUGACCCCCGCAGUGCCGCAGCUAACGCAUUAAGCGCUCCGCCUGGGAAGUACGGCCGCAAGGCUAAAACUCAAAGGAAUUGACGG